rnacentral:rRNA from 1 species
GGGGACAACAGCUGGAAACGGCUGCUAAUACCCCAUAAGCCGAGAGGUAAAAGGAUCAAUCCGGCAGAGGAGGUACUCGCGACCUAUCAGCUAGUAGGUGAGGUAACGGCUCACCUAGGCGAAGACGGGUAGCCGGCCCGAGAGGGCAAACGGCCACACUGGAACUGAGAUACGGUCCAGACUCCUACGGGAGGCAGCAGUGGGGAAUAUUGGGCAAUGGGGGAAACCCUGACCCAGCGACGCCGCGUGGGUGAAGAAAUCCUUCGGGAUGUAAAGCCCUGUUGUAUGGGAAGAGCGGAAGACGGUACCAUACGAGGAAGCCCCGGCAAACUACGUGCCAGCAGCCGCGGUAAUACGUAGGGGGCAAGCGUUGUCCGGAAUUACUGGGCGUAAAGCGCACGCAGGCUGAAUNUAUAAGUCGGUAGUCUAAUGCGGAGGCUCAACCUCUGUAUAUCUAUCGAUACUGUAAAUCUGGAGUAUGUGAGAGGGAAGCGGAAUUCCC